rnacentral:lncRNA from 1 species
GGCAGGGCGAACUAUUUAUCCAUUGUCCCCUCACUCCUUCUUCCUUAUUGAUAUAGCCCCAAUUUUAUUUAUUUUUUUCUUUUUUUUAUUAGUUGUUCAAAACAUUACAAAGCUCUUGACAUAUCAUAUUUCAUACAUUUGAUUCAAGCAGAUUAUGAACUCCCAUUUUUACCCCGUAUACAUAUUGCAGAUUCACAUCGGAUGUUGAUGUUCCCUACUAGAGGACAUUUCCUCACCUCUCUGAAGCUUCUCAAGUAUAUCUACAUGACAGUGUGGCCAGUGAGAGGGAAACUGCCAUGCUAUGUGUGACUUCCAGAAAGAUUCCUCAAAGUGAACUCUUUGCCCUGAUCACCACCAGAUCCACUCCUGAAAGAAGGACAUGAAAGCCAGAACUCCUUAGGCCAUGAGGUAACCUCUGGAAUAGAAGCUUCAUAAUAAGUGUGGUAGAAUAGAAGGAGUGGGGUCUCUGAUGCUCACAGAGACAACAGCCCACUUUCAGGAUUCUCACGUGCAGGAAGAACAUGCCCUUGUAUUUUAAGCUGUGCAUGUCAGGGGGGUUUCUGUUGUCUGUAGCCAUUUCUAACCUCUUGCAUGCCCUGACUCUGUGCCUGGCCCUCUAGCAAACUCUGUAUGGGGAUCACUUUAUAUUCCUUGAGCAUAUUUCAUGGAGUCUGGACUCUUAUUAGCAAGUUUUAUAAAUGAGACCUCAACAUGGGAAGUCUUCUGCCCAAGGUCAUUCAACCAGAUAGGGCAAUGUUCUGACCUCUAAGUCAGUGAUUCUCAGUUCUGUCUGCACAUCAGAAUUUCCCAGAGCUUUUGAUAAAUGUCCAGGCCAUGCUAAAAUUAGUUACUUGGAAGUGUGAAGAACAGGAAAAUAUAUGCCUAGUCUCCGAGAAGAUCCCCCAAGAUACUUACAAAGGGGAAAAAGAGGCUUUGCAGUGAAGUUGGGCAGACACCCCCUUAACCUAGAGCUCUGACCUGACACAUGACUAAACCAGUCAGGAUCACUCUGGGUGAACUGGGCUGGCACAAAAUAAUCAUACAGAGAAAUACCUUUGGGUUCUGUGAUGGCUCCUCUGACCCAGCUCCCGCAAAGGAGGCAAGACAGGCAAGAAAGACGAAGAGCAUGCCUUGAACCUGGUUUUAUUGGGGAGAAGCCAUUCAAAUGAGGCAAGGGGUAGGAUUACAAAGGAACAGAUGAGUGUAACUCAACCCCACUGGGUGACAUCUACUCCUGGAGCCACAUCUCAUUGUCUGAGUGGAGGUAAAUAAAGCCCAAGCUAUUGCAGGGCACAAUAAUUGUUCAGUAUCUCUUACUCAGGACUUAAGGGCAUGUAUUUCCAGAGCGGCUCCUGACGGAGCUCCAUAUGACCACCAGUCCUGGGUGACAGGAUGCUCUAAGAACACAGCUCUCUUGUACAGUGUUCCUGUCAAAUAUGUAGGACCUGAGUCUACCUAUGAGGAAACAUUGGAAAAACAGAUGAAAGUCAUAGAAUAGUCCUGAAAUGCAUCCUCAUAUGUAUAUGGAAAGAGAUAUUUCACACAGAUGAAGAAAAUAUUGUCUUUUCAACACAAUUUCUCAAGACAAACCACGGAGGCCACAAAAAAGUGGCACAAUUUUUAAGUACUGAAAGGGAAAACUUUCAAUCCCAAAUCCUAUAUCCAGCAAGAAUAUUCUUCCAGAAUGAAGCAGACCAACACUAUUUAUUAGGGAAAUACAAAUCAAAAUCACAAUGAAUUACCACUUUAUACCUAUAAAAAUGGCCUUAAUCAAAAUUUUCCAUAUGUGGUGGUGACUCAGUGAUACCAAGGCAAGAGGAUUGCAGGUUCAAGGCUAUUCUUUGCAACACAGUGAGACCCUGUCUCAUAAACAAACAAAAUCAGAAAAUAAGUGAUGGCAAGGAUGUGGAAAUUUGAAACUUUGUGCAUUGUGACUAAGGAUCUAAGAAGCUGCUGUGGGAAAUAGUAUGGAGGUUCUAAAUAAAUCAAAUGUGAUCACCAUAUGAUGCAGCUCCAGAUAAUAUUAUAAGAAAUCAUUUCACAAAUCUUCAAAUCAUUUAACAGAGGACAUUUUAAAACUUAAAACUAGCUGGGCACUGUGCCACAUGCCUGUUAUCCAAGCAACUUGGGAGGCUGAGACAGGCAGGAGGAUCUCAAGUUCAAAGCCAGCCUCAGAAACCUAGCAAAACCCUGUCUCAAAACAGAAAAUUUUAAAAACAGUCUGGAGAUCUAACUCAGUGGUUAAGGGCCCCUGGAAUUAAUCCCUGGUACAAAAACAACAAAAAGCAAAAAACAACAAAAUAAAACCAAACAAAAAGACCAUAAAAACUUAAAGCUAUGGACAUAUGAGCUGGGAUCAUAGCUCAGUGGUAGGGCACAUGCCUAGCAUGUGUGAGGCACUGGGUUUUAUUCUUUGCACUGCAUAUAAAUAAAUAAAUAUCUAUCAAAAAUUAAAAAAUAUUUUUUAAAACUAUGUAUAAAAAUGGAGGCAUGUUCAAUGAUUGCUAUAGAAAUGCUUUUACAACUUGUUUAUAUAACCUAUCCUGGGUGUUCUCUUAGAGAAGAAAACAUCCUUGGUCAUCUGUGAGCUCACAGUCCAUUAGUACACCACACUUUCUAGUUCUUCACAUUAAAGAUCUAUAAAAUAUGAAUAUAUGUGUACUAUGUAUAAAAAUAAAAUGGAGGGGCUGGGGCUUUAGCUCAGUAGUGGAGUACUUGCCUAGCACAUGUGAGGCACUGGGUUUGAUCCUCAGCACUGUAAUAUGAAAUAAAGCCAUUCCUGUCCAUCUACAACUACAAAUAAAAUAAAAUAAAAUAAAAUGGACAAGGGUAAGGAUAGAAGGGUAGAUGGACAUGAUCAAUGCACCAUGUAUACAUGUAUGGAAACAUAACUGUAAACCCCAUUAAUUACAAUUAAUGUUAUCAUAAAAAUAAAAUAGACAUAUGAUACAAUGUUCUACUGUAAAGAGAACAUGGUUAUUUCAUGAUAUAAUCAGUGAGUGAGGAGGCAGGG